UUUGUAAUUAUCCUCAUAAUUGGAUUGUGUGUAUUUUUCAGUGCAAAGAUGAACCAGACAUUGCUGACACUCCUCACUGUGGACACUGACACUGACGCUCCUGGUGUGGUCCGCUUCAGCCAAAGUGAAAGGUGGCUGUGGAUGGAUUUGUCCGUUUCUGUGGGAGUGGUGAUGGAACAGUGGAGAAGACACAUGCCCACAGCACUGAAUACAAUACAAACUCCUGAAAGCACUUCUGAACUGGCUGUUCAGGCCAGCUGUGACGAUGUCCACAAGAUGAGGUUCAGCGACCUGUUUGCCUGGGCGGAGGAGUACGAUGAUUCCUAGACCAAGGCUCCGGCCUCCUCGCCUCGCUCCCGGAAAGGAACGGCUCCGCCCACCAACAGCGAGGAGGAGAGCGCCUCCAGCAGCGCCUCAGUACGUAGCCCCACCUCCACCUGCUCCUCUGUGUGAGGACAACCUGAAUCUGUGUCUCGUUCUUUGAUUGGUCUGUAAAAUACAGCUGCUCGUUACUUUCUAUAAAUUGAACUAAUAGACUUUCUGUUAGCUUCCUGCUCAGCUUCCAGUCUCAAGGGGAGAUGUUUGUUAACCUGCUUCACUUCUCCAGCCGUAAACAAUCUUUAUUAGCUAUCUUUAUUUGCUUAUGAUUCCAUAAAACUCCACAUUCAAAGCUCCCUUUUAUAUUAUUUAAGUAAAAGUGCUGCUCAUGGAAUAAAAGUAUGCAUAGUUGCUUUUUCCACAGUAUAGUAAGUAGUAAAAGGACAUUUUAUUUAGCUCAAGAGAUUCAAGUUAUUAUCACUUAACACCAAAAAAUCUCUUUAAGAAUCUGGAAAUUGUGCUGGCAAUCCGCAAAUGGCUCAGGCAAACACUUGUCUUUCUGUGAUUUUUAUUCAAGUCUUCUGCAGAAGGACUCACAGCAACACACAUAUGCCAUAUAGGCCUACAUGUAUGCUCGGAUGAGUGAGGAAAGCUGAGUGAGCCUGUUAUUUAUCCAGCUUUAGGGUCAAUCAUAUCAUCCCACAGAGACACGUUUUCCCUGAGGUCUGGAUAACAAAGAGAACAGAGAUAUUUGGACUGUUACAUUUAAACAGAUUCAGUGCCACAUCAUACAUUAGUCUCCCUGAGUCCAGAGUUACAUGCAAUAUGUUUGGAAUUUCCAUUACAAAAUAGAGAAUGUUCAACAUUAUUGCAAAAAAGAAUGAAAAGAAAUAGGUUAUCAAAAUUGUUGCCGGUUAAUUAUCUGAUCAAGCAGUCAGUUACUUCUAUUCAGACUUCUAUUGGUCUAUUCAGCUUUAUGCAAGAUGUACCUUAUUUUGUGUCUGUUAAAUGUAGAAAUGAUGAAAGAUGUGAGAAGAUGAUACUAAUAAAGAGAACUUGAAUUGUAA